GGCUCGUUGGUCUAGGGGUAUGAUUCUCGCUGUGGGAGCGAGAGGUCCCGGGUUCAAAUCCCGGAUGAGCCC
rnacentral:tRNA from 1 species